UACGGGGGGGGCAAGCGUUGUUCGGAAUCACUGGGCGUAAAGCGCACGUAGGCGGACUCUUAAGUCAGGGGUGAAAUCCUGGAGCUCAACUCCAGAACUGCCUUUGAUACUGGGAGUCUUGAGUUCGGGAGAGGUGAGUGGAACUGCGAGUGUAGAGGUGAAAUUCGUAGAUAUUCGCAAGAACACCAGUGGCGAAGGCGGCUCACUGGCCCGAUACUGACGCUGAGGUGCGAAAGCGUGGGGAGCAAACAGG
rnacentral:rRNA from 1 species